AUGUUUGGAUAUUCAUGGAAGGUGGGUGAUGGUAGAAGUAUUAGAUUUUGGGAAGAUAUCUGGUGUGGUGAGGUUAACCUUGCUACCCAAUAUUGGUAUCUUUAUUCCAUUGCAGUGGACCAUCAGGUCACUAUUAGUGAUGUUUGGGAUGUAAGUAAAAUUAAUUUUAGAAGAUGCUUCUCUCCCAAGAUGUUGAUGGAUUGGAACAAGAUGUUCCACAAGGUUAAAUGUAACACCCCGCAUGUAACUUUCCAUAUUUGUAACUCCGACUCUUGCCAUUUUCGGCUAUGUGCUAUGAUAUUCCCUCCGUGGUCGGGUUUUCUCUUUCGUUUUGCAUUUUGUUCAUGUCAUGCAUUUCAUAUCAUGUCAUCAUGUGCAUUGCAUUUGCAUACGUGUUCGUCUCAUGCAUCCGAACAUUUUCCCCGUUGUCCGUUUUAG
rnacentral:rRNA from 1 species